rnacentral:rRNA from 1 species
GAUGAACGCUAGCUCCAGGCUUAACACAUGCAAGUCGAGGGGCAGCAUGGUCUUAGCUUGCUAAGGCCGAUGGCGACCGGCGCACGGGUGAGUAACACGUAUCCAACCUGCCGUCUACUCUUGGACAGCCUUCUGAAAGGAAGAUUAAUACAAGAUGGCAUCAUGAGUCCGCAUGUUCACAUGAUUAAAGGUAUUCCGGUAGACGAUGGGGAUGCGUUCCAUUAGAUAGUAGGCGGGGUAACGGCCCACCUAGUCUUCGAUGGAUAGGGGUUCUGAGAGGAAGGUCCCCCACAUUGGAACUGAGACACGGUCCAAACUCCUACGGGAGGCAGCAGUGAGGAAUAUUGGUCAAUGGGCGAGAGCCUGAACCAGCCAAGUAGCGUGAAGGACGACUGCCCUAUGGGUUGUAAACUUCUUUUAUAAAGGAAUAAAGUCGGGUAUGGAUACCCGUUUGCAUGUACUUUAUGAAUAAGGAUCGGCUAACUCCGUG